UACGGAGGGUGCAAACGUUGCUCGGAAUUAUUGGGCGUAAAGCGCACGUAGGCGGUCCCUUAAGUCGGGUGUGAAAGCCCUCGGCUUAACCGAGGAAGUGCAUUCGAAACUGGGGACUUGAAUACUGGAGAGGAUGGCGGAAUUCCCGGUGUAGAGGUGAAAUUCGUAGAUAUCGGGAGGAACACCAGCGGCGAAGGCGGCCAUCUGGACAGAUAUUGACGCUGAGGUGCGAAAGCGUGGGAGCAACAGG
rnacentral:rRNA from 1 species